rnacentral:rRNA from 1 species
GACGAACGCUGGCGGCAGGCCUAACACAUGCAAGUCGAACGAGUGGCGGACGGGUGAGUAAUGCUUGGGAAUCUGGCUUAUGGAGGGGGAUAACGACGGGAAACUGUCGCUAAUACCGCAUACCAUAGGAUGAGCCCAAGUGGGAUUAGGUAGUUGGUGGGGUAAAGGCCUACCAAGCUGACGAUCUCUAGCUGGUCUGAGAGGAUGACCGGCCACAUGGGGAGUGGGAUACGGCCCAGACUGCUACGGGAGGCAGCAGUGGGGGAUAGGGCACAAUGGACGAAAGCCCGAUGCAGAGACGCCGAGUGGGGGAUGAAGGCUUUCGGGUUGUAAACCUCGUUCGCUAUCGAAGGGGUAGGUGGAGAAGAAGCGCCGGCUAACUACGUGCCAGCCGCCGCGGUAAUUC